UAAAAGUUCACGCUAGGCAGCUAUACCUGGUGUGCCCACUCCUCUUCCAGACAGAGACAGACGGAAGGUACUUCUUGGCGGAUUUCAGGGUGCAAAUCACUGGGGCCUCCCCAUUCUCAGGACUCUGCAGCCCCACACGUGGACUGGCUCUGUCGAGGUGAUGCUGCCUGGCAGGUGUGGUGUGCAGUAUGGAUCUGGCCAAGAGGGGCUCUGGGCUCACACUGAGAGGGUAAUGAGUAGGCAGUAACCCCACCGGAAAGAUGGCGGUGUGUCCCUCGGCUUCCACGUGCCGCGAGUGGUCUGUUACUACAGGAACAGCAUUUGACGCGGGUCGCUCCGUCCAGAUGAAGUCCGAAUUCUUCCUGGUGGUGCUUAAGCCACACAGUCAGAACUGACCCACCUUGGCCCGCUCUGACAGUGAGGUCCCCAGUCACCCCAUCAAAUAGGAAAUUUUAAAAUACACUUCUUCAAAUUCUGAUCAUCUCCACUGAUGGGAAACUCUUUUCUUCAAGCAAAUAGUGAAAAAAUCCUGGGUCGUGGAGCUCACUCCGAGUCAGAGGAGACAACGAUAAACAAAAUAAAUAUGUAAAGUAUUGGUGUAUCGUACAGUGACAAGGGAUGCAGAGAACAAUGAAGUACAAAUGCAAGACCCUGAGCAAUGGCGGUGCAGGCCGGUUUGGAAGAGCAUGGUCAGAGAAGACCUCACCAAGAAGGUGGCACUUGACAAGGACCUGAAAAAGAAGAGGGAUGAGCGUGGAGGCCACGUGGGAGACAAGCAUCCCAGGCACAAACAAGUAGCCUGCAUGCCCAGCCAGGCGGAGACAUCAGAUUGGCCAUCACACGUCCUUCAGAAGACCUGCAGGGGCAGUAGGUGAGGUCAGGACAUUAGAGAGAUUGGAUGACCCCCAGUUUCCAGGCCUCAUGAAGACUUUCUAAGUGAUGUAGGAAGUCCAUGCAUGUUGCCCACAAAGGAGAGACAAACCACUCUGUGCUUAGUGUGGUGAAGGGAGACGUCCUCCCUCAUGUUGGAGAUGGACAAGAGGCCAAGUGCAGAGAACGGGAGGCUGGGAGGGACCAGGAGAGCUCUUUUCACGACGCUCCCAGUGGCCCAUCCGGAGCACACCAGUUGGGAACUUCUGCUGUUCAGCGUCCGGGGACACAAAGGUGAACUUUCACUUGACCUUCAGGGAUCCACCAGGCAUCUUGGCCAAGUGUCCACAGCUAAUCUCCCAAGCACUGAGCCCCCUACACUGUGACACACCCCAUCAAAGGGAAAGCAUUGCUAUGUCCUGUUCCCACCAUCCUCUACAUCUUUAGUGGCCAGAGAUGACUUUGUUUUGAUAUCUGUUCCUAAAUCCCUGCGUCCUGCCACACUUAGCUGGGAAAACAUUUGCAGAACUCGGGCUCCUCUGCUCUGUUUACUCAACAACUUCAAAUAGUCCAAAUUGAUUUCUCCUUUGUAUGAAUGCCAGCCUGAAUCAAGUGACUUAACAUGUAAUUGUUCUUUAAUUCUUUAACUUUUACCUGUGUUUUUCACGUGGUUCAAUAUACAAAG
ensembl:lncRNA